rnacentral:tRNA from 4 species
CGCGGAGUAGGGCAGGUAGGUAGCCCGCCGGGCUCAUAACCCGGAGGUCGCGGGUUCGAAUCCCGCCUCCGCAACGA